rnacentral:rRNA from 1 species
GAUGAACGCUGGCGGCGUGCCCAAUACAUGCAAGUCGAGCGAACGGACGAGAAGCUUGCUUUUCUGAUGUUAGCGGCGGACGGGUGAGUAACACGUGGAUAACCUACCUAUAAGACUGGGAUAACUUCGGGAAACCGGAGCUAAUACCGGAUAAUAUUUUGAACCGCAUGGUUCAAAAGUGAAAGACGGUCUUGCUGUCACUUAUAGAUGGAUCCGCGCUGCAUUAGCUAGUUGGUAAGGUAACGGCUUACCAAGGCAACGAUGCAUAGCCGACCUGAGAGGGUGAUCGGCCACACUGGAACUGAGACACGGUCCAGACUCCUACGGGAGGCAGCAGUAGGGAAUCUUCCGCAGUGGGCGAAAGCCUGACGGAGCAACGCCGCGUGAGUGAUGAAGGUCUUCGGAUCGUAAAACUCUGUUAUUAGGGAAGAACAUAUGUGUAAGUAACUGUGCACAUCUUGACGGUACCUAAUCAGAAAGCCACGGCUAACUACGU